AUGUGGUUGGGUGUAAUUUUUCUUGCCCAGUGUUAUAAAUUGUAGCCUAUUUCCAGGUGGCACUAUUUCCAUGUGCAAUACAAGUAGUCCAUGUAUAAAAUGUUUGUAUGUGUCUGUAUAUGUCCUGCUGCCAAUUUCUCUGAAAUUAUGUUGAUGUCCAAAGAUUGUGUUAAAAUACUUAGAACACAAAGUAAUCCACCCAAAAUAAGGCACAAAACAAACAAACAUUUUUAUUGCAAAGCUGUGCAACUGGAGUCUCUGAAAUUCGAGUAAUCGAUUUUUGCAAAAAAAAGUAACAGAAUAUUAAUCCUGCAUAUGGAUCUGCAGAAAAUGUGUGUGGCACAGUGGACAGCAUCUUGAACCACGUGGAUCAAUCAGUGACAACUGGGUUGUUCACUAAGCAACUCAUUUGUGUGCUUUAAAUUCAUACUGGAAAAACUGAAUCGAAAAUAGCCAAGCUAGAGUUUUUUUGUUUUUUUUCCCCCCCCCUAGAUCAGCUAUUUAUGCCUUUGUUUUUACCUUUUGAAUUUAAUUUGCAGUUUAGUGAAUAAACAAACGUAUAACAGUUGUUGGUUAUCUGCAUAUUACAGAUGGGAAUGAUUGCACCAGGGUGCUAACAGGUUUUAAA